CUCUUAACCAUUCUAUAGAAUCAGCACCCAUCUUUGAGUCAGAGUUUGAGAUGCAAAUCCUUUACUGUAUAGCCUUGAUCAAAUGACUUCACCUCAUUGAAUUAAUCUUCUUCUGCAUAAAAUGGGGUCACCAUCUGCUUAUCUAAAUUGUUACAAAUGGGACAGUAUAUGUGCCAUUCCAGAUACCUAAUCACAGCUCAAUCGAUGCUGGUGUCUUUUUCCUUUUUCCUUCUGCAGAAAACAUGCUUUACAUAGGAUCUCUGAACUUAAAGAAUGGGAAGAAGAAAAAUCAUGUUUCCAGCUUGGGCUGCUGUUUCAUCUGUUGGACUUGCUUAAAACGUAUGGGUUUGUUUACCCUUCCUGCAGGCAUCCAACCUGGCCUUUUAUUCCUGCUUAAGUAGGACAUGCAGCCUGCUGGGGACCCGUGGCUCAAAUCCUCCAACUGCAGGACUGCCGGCCCUGGGACUCAUGAAUAAUGGAAGUACAGUAACC
rnacentral:lncRNA from 1 species